UACGUAGGUGGCAAGCGUUGUCCGGAUUUAUUGGGCGUAAAGCGAGCGCAGGCGGUUCUUUAAGUCUGAUGUGAAAGCCCUCGGCUCAACCGAGGAAGGUCAUUGGAAACUGGGGGACUUGAGUGCAGAAGAGGAGAGUGGAAUUCCAUGUGUAGCGGUGAAAUGCGUAGAUAUAUGGAGGAACACCAGUGGCGAAGGCGACUCUCUGGUCUGUAACUGACGCUGAGGCUCGAAAGCGUGGGGAGCAAACAGG
rnacentral:rRNA from 1 species